UUAGCCCUAAACCCAGAUAAUUUUUUAAACAAAAUUAUUCGCCAGAGUACUACUAGCAAUAGCCUGAAACUCAAAGGACUUGGCGGUGCUUCAUAUCCCUCUAGAGGAGCCUGUCCUAUAAACGAUAAACCCCGAUAGACCUUACCAACCCUAGCUAAUACAGCCUAUAUACCGCCAUCCUCAGCAAACCCUGAUAAAGGAAAUAUAGUAAGCAAGAUUGUUAAAAUACAAAAACGUUAGGUCAAGGUGUAGCUUAUGAGUUGGAAAGAGAUGGGCUACAUUUUCUCAAAACAGAAAAAAAAACGAACAUUCUUAUGAUAUUAAGAGUUAAAGGAGGAUUUAGUAGUAAGCUAAGAAUA
rnacentral:rRNA from 1 species